rnacentral:rRNA from 1 species
CUAAAACUCAAAGGAAUUGACGGGGACCCGCACAACCAGUGGAGCGUGUGGUUCAAUUCGAGACAAAACGAAAAACAUCACCAGGGAUUGACAUGUUACCGUUUUAUUCCUCUGGAAACAGAGGAAGAUCCGCAAGGAUGGUAAUGCAGGUGCUGCAUGGCUGUCGUCAGCUCGUGCCGUGAGGUGUUCCCUUAAGUGGGGAAACGAGCGCAACCCCUAUCCAAUGUUAAAUAUUCAUUGGAGACAGUCCCGUCCUUUUGCUAAAAAGAUGGAAAUCCGAAGCGAUUCGGUGGCAAAAGGACGGGAAGGAAGGAGGGGAAGACGUCAAGUCAGCACGGCCCUUAUGCCCUGGGCAACACACACACUACAAUGGCGAAUAACAAUGGGCUGCAAGCCGGUAACGGCAAGCGAAUCCCUUAAAUUUCGCCUCAGUUCAGAUUGGGGGCUGAAACCCGCCCUCAUGAAGUUGGAAUUGGUAGUAAUCGCGGAUCAGCAUGCCGCGGUGAAUACGUUCUCGGGUCUUGUACACACCGCCCGUCAAGGCAGCAAAGUCGAGGGUGGCCGAAUCCCCUUUUUUAGGGGAGAGGCUAAAUUCGGCGAUGAGGCUUAAGUCGUAACAAGGUAUCCCUAGCCGAAGCUGGGGAUGGAUCACCUCCUUU